rnacentral:rRNA from 1 species
AGAAUCAACGCUGGCGGCGUGCCUAACACAUGCAAGUCGAACGAGAAAGUGGAGCAAUCCAUGAGUAAAGUGGCGCACGGGUGAGUAACACGUGACUAACCUACCCUUGAGUGGGGGAUAACCUAGAGAAAUCUGGGCUAAUACCGCAUAAUACCUUCGGGUCAAAGGAGCAAUUCGCUUAAGGAGGGGGUCGCGGCCGAUUAGUUAGUUGGCGGGGUAAUGGCCCACCAAGACUAUGAUCGGUAUCCGGCCUGAGAGGGCGCACGGACACACUGGAACUGAAACACGGUCCAGACUCCUACGGGAGGCAGCAGUGGGGAAUUUUGCGCAAUGGGGGAAACCCUGACGCAGCAACGCCGCGUGGAGGAUGAAGUCCCUUGGGACGUAAACUCCUUUCGAUCGGGACGAUAAUGACGGUACCGAGAGAAGAAGCCCGGCUAACUUCGUGCCAGCAGCCGC